AGAUGUGAGGGCAAUCUGGCUGCGACAUGUUGCCCCACUGAUCACCAGGGUUGAUUCGGCUGAUCUGGCUGGCUGGGUGGGACGCACCGCUCUAUGUGCGUCUCUCCCAAAGGUGCGCGCUCGGUUGAAGGACGAACUUUCCCAAUGGAGGGAGGACCGUCCUUCGGUCAAGGGUGUGUGAGUAGCUGCGCUCCCCUGCUGGAACCUCCAAACAAGUCUCAAGGUCCAUUUGUGGGAGAACGUAGGGUAGUCAAGCUUCCAAGACUCCAGACACAUCCAAAUGAGGCGCUGCAUGUGGCAGUCUGCCUUUCUUU
rnacentral:snRNA from 1 species